rnacentral:rRNA from 1 species
UACGGAGGAUGCGAGCGUUAUCCGGAUUUAUUGGGUUUAAAGGGUGCGUAGGCGGAUUGAUAAGUCAGUGGUGAAAACCUGCAGCUUAACUGUAGAAUUGCCGUUGAUACUGUCAGUCUUGAGUACGGUCAAGGUAGGCGGAAUGUGUAAUGUAGCGGUGAAAUGCUUAGAUAUUACACAGAACACCAAUUGCGAAGGCAGCUUACUGGGCCACAACUGACGCUGAGGCACGAAAGCGUGGGGAGCGAACAGG